rnacentral:rRNA from 1 species
AACGAACGUUGGCGGCGUGGAUGAGGCAUGCAAGUCGAACGCGAAAGCCGCAAGGCGAGUAAAGUGGCGGACGGGCGAGUAACACGUAAUCAAGCUGCCCAAGAGACGGGGAUAACCUCGGGAAACCGAGGCUAAUACCCGAUGGUCUGCCGGGGGCGCAUGUUCCUGGUAGUAAAUGGACGGGAUCCUUCGGGACCGUCUGCUUUUGGUAGGUGAUUGCGGCCCAUCAGCUAGUUGGUAGGGUAACGGCCUACCAAGGCAACGACGGGUAGCCGGCCUUAGAGGGUGGUCGGCCGCACUGGGACUGAGACACUGCCCAGACUCCUACGGGAGGCUGCAGUCGAGAAUCUUCCGCAAUGGACGCAAGUCUGACGGAGCGACGCCGCGUGGAGGAUGAAGGCCUUCGGUUGUAACUACCUGUCACGAGUUAAGAAGAGGUUGUCACGAACAGUGGCAGCAUUUGACGUAAGCUCGAGAGGAAGCACUGGCUAACUCUGUG